GCAGGAUGUCACUUUGGACUACAGCAAAACUACGUCUCCAGACGUGCUCAAUCUGAUAAUAAACAACGACACAGAUCACCAAUAUACAGCCAAAAGCCUGUACAGUGACUUCAAAACAUGCUCCAUCUUCAAGUAUUACGGCGAAUACGAAAAAUGCAUUAUGUGGGUGGCAAGAGGAUACGAGGACGCUGUACCCGACCUGUGCAUACAUGAAUUUAAUUGUGCCUGUGGCCCCGCCGUUCCUUUGUAUAUCCCACAAAUAUGCAAGAAAUGAGACAAGGGAAUAAACAGGAUGAAGGCAUU
rnacentral:lncRNA from 1 species